rnacentral:lncRNA from 1 species
UAGUAUGUAGGUCAUAAUCACAUCGUAAUCCUCUAGAAAGAAAUUAAUAUUCCUAAAACUCUUUAGGACACUUGAAAAAUGAGUCUCAUAGAUCUAACCUCUAACUUAGUCCACAUGUCAACACUUGACGUGGGUCGAAUAUUUUAAACAUGCCAUAUCUCAUACAGCAUGAUAGGAAAGACUUAGAGAGAACUCUUAUUCAUUAAGUAAAGCUUAUUUCUAAAGAAAAUAAGGAAAGAUCAGUGAUGCUCAUCAUGGAUCAAACUAUAUCAAAUAGAAUCCUAUUCCAACUCUCGACACCCCAUCA